GCUCAGCGGGCCCUCUACAGAGACGUGAUGCUGGAGAUCUACAGCCACCUCGUCUCCGUGGGGUAUUGUUCUAUAAAACCAGAAGUGAUCUUCCAGUUGGAACAAGAAGAUCCAUUGUUAGUGGAGGACAAAUUUCUAAAUGGGAGUUAUCCAGAAGACUGCCAACUUGAUCUUUUGAAAAGAGCCAGGAAAACCAAGACAAGUGUUUAUGUCAAGUUUCAUUCACCACGAACAGACCAUUGAUUGCAGAGCAAGAGAAAAUUUCAGGAAAACCAUGUCAUCUGGGCACAGACGUUGUUCCUUCAAGAAAAAUGAUCUCUAUAUGUGACAGUGUAGGGCCUACAUAUUUGGAUCUCUACCCGUUAGCUCCUCAUAAUGAGUCAGAAAAGAAGAUUGAUGACUGUAAUGCAUCUCAUUCCUAUACUAGAAAUGAGAGAAGAGAUACUGGAGACAAAUCUUCUGAUUACUAUCAGAAUGUGCAAACUUUCAGUUAUGUGCCGGAAUUUUCUUCGGGGCAGUCUUUUGAAUGUAAUGAACGUGGUUGUGCUUUGCAUGAUAAACCUGUCUUCAUUACGCGGAAUAGUGCUUACGCAAAAGAGAGACCUCAUUAUAAAUUUGGAAGAAAGCUAUGUAAUGAAUCAGCCCUUGUUUCUCCCAGCAUUCACACAGAGAAGAGUCCCUGUGAAUUUCAUGAAGCUAAAUGUAAUACUAUUGGGAACAGAUUCAGGAAGGUUGCUCAACUUCAGAGAACUGAUACGAGAGAGAAAACUUUUGGACCAAAACCACAAUUCAGUGAAUAUCAGAGAACUCACACUGGAGUGCAACCACUUGAGUGUGGGAAAAACUUCAACUACAAUUCAGCCACUAAGGUACA